rnacentral:rRNA from 1 species
GACGAACGCUGGCGGCGUGCCUAAUACAUGCAAGUCGAACGCAGUGGGGACGGGUGAGUAACACGUGGGUAACCUCCCAUCAGAGGGGAUAACACUUGGAAACAGGUGCUAAACCGAUACUGAUGGAUGGACCCGCGGUGCAUUAGCUAGUUGGUGAGGUAACGGCUCACCAAGGCCACGAUGCAUAGCGGGCCGGAGAGGAUGAUCAGCCACACGGGGACUGAGACACGGCCCAGACUCCUACGGGAGGCAGCAGUGGGGAAUAUUGGGCAAGGGGCGAAAGUCUGACCGAGCAACGCCGGGUGAGGGAAGAAGGUUUUCGGAUCGUAAAGCACUGUUAUUGGGGAGGCGGUAUCUAACCAAAAAGCACCGGAUAACUCCGUGCCAGCAGCCGCGGUAAUAC